GCACUAAGUGGCUACUCAAAAUGUGGUUUGUGGACCAGAAGCAUCACAUCUCCUGGGAACUAGGUAGGCCUAAUGGAAUCAAGAGGGCCCUUUAGAGUGGAAGAGGGAAUUUGAAGAAAGAACCAGAGACAUGUCAGCAUGAGAAGGACUCAGCCUAAUCUUGCUGCCUUUGAAGUUGGAGGAAGGGGUCUAUGAAGCUGGAAAA
rnacentral:lncRNA from 10 species